CAGAAAAGCAGUCCAAAAUCAUCCACAAGCUGAGAAAUCGGCUCCUGGACAUUAGAGGAAAUGCCUGUCAAUGUAUAGAAAGGAUUUAGUUAAUUAAUUACAUGUAUGUGAGCAUCUUGAACAUAGCCAGCAACAAAUACCUGCUAACCGGUUAUAAAUGACAUUGAUGAAUAUUCAGACAAAAAUUUCAACAGCCUUUCUCUCUGUAGAGGAAUUCUCCAGAUUGUGACCUGAGGCACAAAAGGAGCAGGGAGUGAACAUUCUUCCUUUUAAUCUGAGUUCCAGGUGAACACAUCUGGUGCAUGGAAUCUAGGUGAAUACCAGUGGGUACUGUGAGUCCUGUCUUUAUCAUCCUCUGGAUGCUUGCCCAAAAUUCAUUCUGGCAACAAAUACUGGAGAUUUUACCUGUCCCUAUUUUUAGAAUGUACCUAGCCCCUUUUCUCCAUUUCUGCUGCCUUUUAAAAGAUCACUACUUUAAAAGAUCACUACUUGCCUCCUUAAUGUUAUUAAAAAAAUCUCCUAACUGGUCUUG
rnacentral:lncRNA from 10 species